GACGAACGCUGGCGGCGUGCUUAACACAUGCAAGUCGAACGGUAAGGCCCUUCGGGGUACACGAGUGGCGAACGGGUGAGUAGCACGUGGGUGAUCUGCCCUGCACUUCGGGAUAAGCCUGGGAAACUGGGUCUAAUACCGGAUAGGACUCCGGACUGCAUGGUCUGGGGUGGAAAGCUUUUGCGGUGUGGGAUGGGCCCGCGGCCUAUCAGCUUGUUGGUGGGGUGAUGGCCUACCAAGGCGACGGCGGGUAGCCGGCCUGAGAGGGUGACCGGCCACACUGGGACUGAGAUGCGGCCCAGACGCCUACGGGAGGCAGCAGUGGGGAAUAUUGCACAAUGGGCGCAAGCCGGAUGCAGCGACGCCGCGUGGGGGAUGACGGCCUUCGGGUUGUAAACCUCUUUCAGCAUCGACGAAGCGAAAGUGACGGUAGGUGCAGAAGAAGGACCGGCCAACUACGUGCCAGCAGCCGCCGUAA
rnacentral:rRNA from 1 species